UUUAUAUUUAUAAAUGUAUUCAACUUAUUUAUAGAUUAAUAUAUUAAUAUUUAAAAAUCGAUAAUUAGGCAAAAAAUUAGUCAUUUUUAUAUAGGAAACUUUUAUAUGACUCAUAAGUAGCGUUAAAAAGGACUUUAUUGUCUAAGACCUACACGUUUAUACAUUAGCAACAAAAUAGUAAGAAAUAAAAAAUUAAUGAUUUUUUCAUUUUUGAAAUUAUAAAAAUCGUAACUUCCCUAAUUUUAAUACUUACAAUUACUACAUUCAUAUAAAAAUAACCCACUUUACUCUAUUAUUUCAGUUCGUUAUAUGAUUUCUAAUAAAUCUAAUAAAAUAAUUGAAAAUAAAGUAAUUUGCCAAAUAACAUUAUUUGGAAUUUAUAUUCUCAAUAAUGAUAUUAUUUCAUGAAAUUAAUUUUUAUAGUAUUUAUGAUUCAAUAAAAGAAAAUAAUUAUUUUAUCACAAAAAAAAUUGAUAAAAAUAUAAAUAACAUUUUAUUAUAGAAAAUGGAAAGAAACCCAAAGUAUGCAAUUCAUGUCAAUUUAGUAGGGGGGAAAUAGACAGCACAUAUUGUAACGUACACUUGUUUUGCUCGGUAUGCAAAAAAAAUGCAAUGGAAGCUAAUCCAAAAUGCGUACUUUGUCAAUGUGAUAAACUUAACGUAUAACAAGCCUAACUGCAAUACAGAUUGAAUCAUUACAUUUUAUUUGAUACAUCAUGUAAAUUAACAUAAAUUUAUGUACAAAUUCAAAAAAAAAGUUUUAAUUAAUUCAUUAACAGUAAAAAAGUGUUAUUCUUUCAUAAAAACUAAUUUUAUUAUAAAGGAAUUAUUAAUAAAUAAAUAUUUUAAUAUUGAAA